UACGUAGGGUGCAAGCGUUGUCCGGAAUUAUUGGGCGUAAAGAGCGUGUAGGCGGCCCGAUUAGUCCGCUGUGAAAGUUCAGGGCUCAACCCUGGAAUGCCGGUGGAUACUGUCGGGCUAGAGUCCGGAAGGGGCGAGUGGAAUUCCUGGUGUAGCGGUGAAAUGCGCAGAUAUCAGGAGGAACACCAAUGGCGAAGGCAGCACUCUGGGACGUGACUGACGCUGAGACGCGAAAGCGUGGGGAGCAAACAGG
rnacentral:rRNA from 1 species